rnacentral:rRNA from 1 species
UACGUAGGGUCCGAGCGUUGUCCGGAAUUACUGGGCGUAAAGAGCUCGUAGGUGGUUUGUCGCGUUGUUCGUGAAAACUCACAGCUCAACUGUGGGCGUGCGGGCGAUACGGGCAGACUGGAGUACUGCAGGGGAGACUGGAAUUCCUGGUGUAGCGGUGGAAUGCGCAGAUAUCAGGAGGAACACCGGUGGCGAAGGCGGGUCUCUGGGCAAUAACUGACGCUGAGGAGCGAAAGCAUGGGGAGCGAACAGG